rnacentral:rRNA from 1 species
GACAGAGGGGUGCAAACGUUGUUCGGAUUUACUGGGCGUAAAGCGCGUGUAGGCGGCUUGGCAAGUCGGAUGUGAAAGCCCACGGCUCAACCGUGGAAGCGCAUCCGAAACUGCUUCGCUCGAGUCUCGGAGAGGAAGGUGGAAUGCUUGGUGUAGAGGUGAAAUUCGUAGAUAUCAAGCAGAACACCUGCGGCGAAGGCGGCCUUCUGGACGAUGACUGACGCUGAGACGCGAAAGCGUGGGGAGCAAACAGG